rnacentral:rRNA from 1 species
AGAGUUUGAUUAUGGCUCAGGAUGAACGCUAGCGAUAGGCCUAACACAUGCAAGUCGAGGGGUAGCACAUGAAGUAGCAAUACGGAUGGUGGCGACCGGCGCACGGGUGAGUAACGCGUAUGCAACCUGCCUACAACAGGGGAAUAACCCGUUGAAAGACGGACUAAUACCCCAUAACACAGGGAUCCCGCAUGGGAAUAUUUGUUAAAGAUUUAUCGGUUGUAGAUGGGCAUGCGUUCCAUUAGCUGGUUGGUGAGGUAACGGCUCACCAAGGCAACGAUGGAUAGGGGAACUGAGAGGUUUAUCCCCCACACUGGUACUGAGACACGGACCAGACUCCUACGGGAGGCAGCAGUGAGGAAUAUUGGUCAAUGGACGCAAGUCUGAACCAGCCACGUCGCGUGAAGGAAGACGGCCCUACGGGUUGUAAACUUCUUUUGUAAGGGAAUAAGUGUAGUACGUGUACUAUUUUGCAUGUACCUUACGAAUAAGGAUCGGCUAACUCCGUGCCAGCAGCCGCGGUAAUACGGAGGAUCCGAGCGUUAUCCGGAUUUAUUGGGUUUAAAGGGUGCGCAGGCGGGAGAUUAAGUCGGCGGUGAAAUUUUGCAGCUCAACUGUGAAAGUGCCUUCGAAACUGGUUUCCUUGAGUGUGGAUGAAGUAGGCGGAAUUUGUGGUGUAGCGGUGAAAUGCAUAGAUAUCACGAGGAACUCCGAUUGCGCAGGCAGCUUACUAAACCAUAACUGACGCUCAGGCACGAAGGCGUGGGGAUCAAACAGGAUUAGAUACCCUGGUAGUC